UACGGAGGAUCCGAGCGUUAUCCGGAUUUAUUGGGUUUAAAGGGUGCGCAGGCGGGAGAUUAAGUCGGCGGUGAAAUUUUGUAGCUCAACUGUAAAAGUGCCUUCGAAACUGGUUUCCUUGAGUGUAGAUGAAGUAGGCGGAAUUUGUGGUGUAGCGGUGAAAUGCAUAGAUAUCACGAGGAACUCCGAUUGCGCAGGCAGCUUACUAAACUACUACUGACGCUCAGGCACGAAGGCGUGGGGAUCAAACAGGAUUAGAUACCCUGGUAGU
rnacentral:rRNA from 1 species